GCCUGCUUAGUAUAGUGGUUAGUACUCCACGUUGUGGCCGUGGCGACGCUGGUUCGAUUCCAGCAGUAGGCA
rnacentral:tRNA from 1 species